rnacentral:rRNA from 1 species
UAAUACGUAGGUGGCAAGCGUUGUCCGGAUUUAUUGGGCGUAAAGCGCGCGCAGGCGGUCUUUUAGUCUGAUGUGAAAGCCCCCGGCUUAACCGGGGAGGGUCAUUGGAAACUGGAAGACUGGAGUGCAGAGAGGAGAGUGGAAUUCCACGUGUAGCGGUGAAAUGCGUAGAUAUGUGGAGGAACACCAGUGGCGAAGGCGACUCUCUGGUCUGUAACU